rnacentral:lncRNA from 1 species
UACAUAAGCAGAGUUGCUGCUUCAACAAGACUCCUUGUGUUUCUUUUGGGCCCUUGACACUCGCCAUCCCGCUCAGCCAUGGAGAGACCCCGGUGGGACCGGCGCCUCUCUCCUCUUGUCUGGACCUGCCACCAAGGAACGAUAAAACUACUUGCUGGAGUCCAGAUCCAACAUGAUCUGAGGAGGAAAUGCGGAGUUGGCAAGAGGAAGACACACAGAUAAGUUAGUGGUGGAGCAAGCUCUAAUUCUCAUAUUGUAUUGAUUUAAAAAAAAAUAUCCCCUAUAAACCAGUCAAAACAAAAGUCUAUGCAGGAAAAACAUCGCCUCAUAAUCACAAGACACAUAUUUUCAACCACACGUGGGCUUCUGAGGAACUUUGUUAAAAAUAAGAUGAGAGAAUUAGAGCUUGCUACAUUGAUAAGACAUCUGUGCGUCUUCACGUCACGGAUUGGGCGUUUCUUCCUCAGACCCCUGACCUGCUGGAGCUGGACUCCUGCAGCUGUGACUCAUGGUACUGAAAGUCACUGGAGUCGUGGGUGGGGAUGGAACACGGAGCUGGGAAAGGGUGGAAAAUCAGCUCCGGAGAGAACCAAGAGUUAAUGACAAUGGUUGAGCACAUGGCCCUCAUAAGAAACAAGAGUCUCCAGUGGAAGGAGAGAAAACGGCGCUGCCCACCCUCCGUCUCCCAAGGGCUUACUAACUCCCCCGGGCUAUUCUCGGAGUGCUUUUGACUUCCUAAUGGCUUAUGCCUCGCGCGUUAACCUCUGAUUGCAUGGAUAUACUUUUUGUCCUCACAGUCUUACUGCUCAAUGUUAGUUCUUUAAGCGAAUCGUAUGACUUGUUACUUGUCCAUUGGCUUGAUGGAGUGGCCAGGCUCGGAGACAUCCCUUCCUGGACCCUACUCCCAAGUAUCUGUAGGCUUGUGUAGACUGUGAUAAAAGUAAAGGUGUGUGACUUGUGACCUUAGUUCUAAUUACAUUGCUUUGCCUGCCUGCUCUGGGAGGAGCCAGAUGGCAUGUAAUGAGGACACGCAAGAGCCCCAGGUAGGUUCCUCGGAUAGCUCAGUUGAUAAAGCAAUAUCCAGAAAAGUCACAUGACUGGAGGUUUUUCCUCCAAGCUAACCUUCUAAUUCCUUGAGGUAAGAUGAUAGCCUCCAUUUAAGGCAAUAAGAAGUGAUUCAUUCCACCAAAAAUAUGAAAAGACAUUAUUUUGCAAUAUUCCUUAUAUUGCAAGAAUGUCUUCAAGAAUAUAGCUAACUUUUAAAACUAGUGUUCAUUCUGGAAAAUUAGGAGCCAUAUGGACUUUGUUUAAUCUGUAGCCAAUUCCUUUGUAAGAAUUGGACCAUCCUUCCUAUAAAUUACCAGUGUUGAUUUUUGACCUCCACCAUUUUUCCAGUUCUGACUCAUCUGCCAUUAAGGAAAGACUGAAAGCUCAGAAAUGUAUUAGCAACUGUGAUGGUUUGUAUAUGCUAGGCCCAGGGGGUGGCACUAUAAGGAGGUAUGGCUUUGUUAGAGUAGGUGUGGCCUUGUUGGAGUAGGUGGGGGCUUUAUGACCCCUGUCCUAGCUCCUUGGAAGUCAGUCUUCUCCUGUUUGUCUUCAGGUGAAGAUGUAGAACUCUCAGCUUCUCCUGCACCAUGCCUACCUGGAUGCUGCCAUGCUCCUGAAUGCUGUCCUAAUAAGAAUUGCCUUGGUCAUGGUGUCUGUUCACAGGAGUAAAACCCUAAGACAACAAUGAAGACAUAGAAGACAAGAGGGGAUCCAUGUCAGGCAGACUGUGGACUAAAUAGCUUAUAAAACAAUAAAACAUAAUUCAUUCAUAAUUGCUUUCAGAUUUGUGCUGAAAAUGUAACUCCUUUUACCAAUAGUUUUCAUUUCUCUUAGUUAAUAAAUAUGUAAAUUUCUUAACAUA